AUUGAACGCUGGCGGCAGGCCUAACACAUGCAAGUCGAGCGGGGUUUUCGGACAUAGCGGCGGACGGGUGCGUAAUGCGUAGGAAGCUACCCGAUAGAGGGGGAUACCAGUUGGAACAGGCUGUGAAUACCGCAUAAUGUCUACGGACCCAAGUGGUACCUUUGGGCCACAUGCUAUUGGAUGCGCCUACGUGGGAUUAGCUAGUUGGUGGGGUAAUGGCUCACCAAGGCGACGAUCCCUAGCUGGUGUGAGAGGAUGAUCAGCCACACUGGAACUGAGACACGGUCCAGACUCCUACGGGAGGCAGCAGUGGGGAAUAUUGGACAAUGGGCGCAAGCCUGAUCCAGCCAUGCCGCGUGUGUGAAGAAGGCCUUCGGGUUGUAAAGCACUUUCAGAAGGGAGGAAGGGUGUUGUGUUAAUAGCGCAGCAUUUUGACGUUACCUACAGAAGAAGCACCGGCUAACUCUGUGCCAGCCGCCGCGGUAAGAC
rnacentral:rRNA from 1 species